rnacentral:rRNA from 1 species
UACGUAGGCAGCGAGCGUUGUUCGGAGUUACUGGGCGUAAAGGGUGCGUAGGCGGUCUGACAAGUCUGAUGUGAAAUCUAUGGGCUCAACCCAUAGUCUGCAUCGGAAACUGUCGGGCUGGAGUAUGGGAGAGGUGAGUGGAAUUUCCGGUGUAGCGGUGAAAUGCGUAGAUAUCGGAAGGAACACCUGUGGCGAAAGCGGCUCACUGGACCAUUACUGACGCUGAUGCACGAAAGCUAGGGGAGCAAACAGG